CACGAGAGCCUCAAGCGUUUAUCCGGAAUUAUUGGGCGUAAAGGGUGUGUAGGCGGUAAUGUUAGUCUCAUGUCAAAGCCUGUCGCUUAACGGCAGAUCCGCAUGGGAAACGGCAUAACUAGGAGGGUGCAAGAGGUGAAUGGAACUCACGGUGUAGGGGUGAAAUCCGUUGAUAUCGUGGGGAACGCCAAAAGCGAAGGCAAUUCACUGGUGCAUACCUGACGCUGAAAACACGAAGCAGGGUAUCGAAUGGG
rnacentral:rRNA from 1 species